GUCCCGGUGGCACAGAUGGAUAGCGCAGCCCCUCCAGGGGCAGGUCGCAGGUUCGAAUCCUGCCCGGGACGCCA
rnacentral:tRNA from 1 species